GUUUUAUUCAGGGUCGUAUGGAACAGAAGUAAACUUUUCUAAUAAUUACAAGUCUUUUUUGCUCAAGCAGUUUUGUUUUGAUGUUUAAGUAGGUUAAGUGAUUAGUAGAUUUGUUAAAAUUAUGUCAUCUUCUUAUAUCCGCCAAACCCGGUAAUAAAAACAGCUUAAUUUUAAGAUUCAAAAGUCAACGAAUUUUUGUAUUACGAUAUGUGCGCCAACUCUCAAACGACUAAGAUAAUGUCUUUGCGGUUCAUCUAAUUAAAUCCACCAAACUUUAUAAAAAGAUUUUAAAAUUAUCUGAUUCCUUGGAUUAUGGUAUGAGCGCCAACUGUACUCUAAAACGACUGAAAAUAUGCCUGUUCCUUUUCAUAUAUCGUUUAUCAAACAAUAAGUAAGUUUCGUUUCUUUCUAUUAAAAGUUUAUUUAUUGUGUUCUUUUUAAAAAUCUUAAUUCAGAAUUAACAUAACUAUUGUUUUUGACAAAAGAAUAAAGAUUUCUAAUUUAUUUUAGAAAUGAGUAAUCAAAAUAGAGAAGGUUUGAAUAUUCUUUUUAUCUAUUUAAUAAUACUAAAGUUAUUAGUAGUAGUGCCCUUUCGGGCCUGUUUGAUACAGACCUCUUGGAAGCCAUUGCAAUUGAGGUAAUGGGGAGAGAGAGUUGCAACAGCUUUGUUUUAUAAGAAAAUGUGAACGAAAGUGUAUCUUAAAACGAAGGUGUAUCAUUGAACGAAACUGUAUGUUUAGUAUAUUUUCAUUAUGUAUGUAAGAUCAAGUUUGGUAAUAAUAAAUAUGUAAUAUCA